CAAAGGAAUUGACGGGGCCCGCACAAGCGGUGGAGCAUGUGGUUUAAUUCGAUGCAACGCGAAGAACCUUACCUGGGCUUGACAUCCCGGGAAUCCCUUGGAAACAAGGGAGUGCCCUUCGGGGAACCUGGAGACAGGUGCUGCAUGGCUGUCGUCAGCUCGUGUCGUGAGAUGUAGGGUUAAGUCCCGCAACGAGCGCAACCCUUGUCUUUAAUUGCCAUCAUUGAGUUGGGCACUUUAAAGAGACUGCCGGUGUUAAACCGGAGGAAGGUGGGGAUGACGUCAAGUCCUCAUGGCCUUUAUGCCCAGGGCUACACACGUGCUACAAUGGGUGGUACAAAGAGCAGCCAGCUCGCGAGAGUGAGCAAAUCUCAAAAAGCCGAUCGUAGUCCGGAUCGCAGUCUGCAACUCGACUGCGUGAAGUCGGAAUCGCUAGUAAUCGUGAAUCAGAAUGUCACGGUGAAUACGUUCCCGGGCCUU
rnacentral:rRNA from 1 species